UACGGGGGGGGCAAGCGUUGUUCGGAAUUACUGGGCGUAAAGGGUUCGUAGGUGGCCAACUCAGUCAGACGUGAAAUCCCUCAGCUCAACUGGGGAACUGCGUCUGAUACUAGAUGGCUCGAGUGCAGGAGAGGAACGCGGAAUUCCAGGUGUAGCGGUGAAAUGCGUAGAUAUCUGGAGGAACACCGGUGGCGAAGGCGGCGUUCUGGACUGCAACUGACACUGAGGAACGAAAGCCAGGGGAGCAAACGGG
rnacentral:rRNA from 2 species